AUUGAACGCUGGCGGCAUGCCUUACACAUGCAAGUCGAACGGUAACAGGUUAAGCUGACGAGUGGCGAACGGGUGAGUAAUGUAUCGGAACGUGCCCAGUCGUGGGGGAUAACUGCUCGAAAGAGCAGCUAAUACCGCAUACGACCUGAGGGUGAAAGCGGGGGAUCGCAAGACCUCGCGCGAUUGGAGCGGCCGAUAUCAGAUUAGGUAGUUGGUGAGGUAAAGGCUCGCCAAGCCGACGAUCUGUAGCUGGUCUGAGAGGACGACCAGCCACACUGGGGCUGAGACACGGCCCAGACUCCUACGGGAGGCAGUAGUGGGGAAUUUUGGACAAUGGGCGCAAGCCUGAUCCAGCCAUGCCGCGUGCGGGAAGAAGGCCUUCGGGUUGUAAACCGCUUUUGUCAGGGAAGAAAAGGUUCUGGCUAAUACCUGGGACUCAUGACGGUACCUGAAGAAUAAGCACCGGCUAACUACGUGCCAGCCGCCGCAGUAAUAC
rnacentral:rRNA from 1 species